rnacentral:rRNA from 1 species
GACGGAGGAUGCAAGUGUUAUCCGGAAUUAUUGGGCGUAAAGCGUCUGUAGGUGGUUUAAAAAGUCCAUGGUUAAAACUUGAAGCUUAACUUCAAAGAUGCCAUGGAAACUUUUAAACUUGAGUAUAGUAGGGGUAAAGGGAAUUUCCAGUGGAGCGGUGAAAUGCGUAGAUAUUGGAAGGAACACCGAUGGCGAAGGCACUUUACUGGGCUAUUACUAACACUCAGAGACGAGAGCUAGGGUAGCAAAUGGG